rnacentral:rRNA from 1 species
UACGUAGGGGGCAAGCGUUGUCCGGAAUUAUUGGGCGUAAAGAGCGCGUAGGCGGUCCGAUAAGUCGGCUGUGAAAGUCCAGGGCUCAACCCUGGAAAGCCGGCCGAUACUGGUCGGACUAGAGUCCGGAAGAGGCGAGUGGAAUUCCCGGUGUAGCGGUGAAAUGCGCAGAUAUUGGGGAAGAACACCAGUGGCGAAGGCGGUUCUCUGGGACGGUACUGACGCUGAGACGCGAAAGCGUGGGGAGCGAACGAGG